rnacentral:misc_RNA from 1 species
AAAGUCGUAACAAGGUUUCCGUAGGUGAACCUGCGGAAGGAUCAUUAACACGUUAUCCACGUAUUCCAACAAUUAUCAACAAACCAGCAACCGUGCUCCCUGUCCUGGUCGAUCCGCUUUGCUGUCCGAUUUGGAUUGUAGUGGGUUAUACGAAAGUGUAACACAUCCGGUCGGGCUAUCACUCCUCGAGAGUGUGGCUUAUGCAUACUGACUGACAGGCUUACUAACACUUACUUCGUUCCAACCACUUUGGGGCGUGGCGAGGAGCCCAUACCAAUUUCACCCUAUUUUACCCAUUUGACUAAUUAUUAAUAUUCCUUGGGAGAAAUCCUUUGGAAUUCUAAGAUUUAUCUUAACUAAGCACAACUCUUAGCAAUGGAUAUCUUGGUUCUC